rnacentral:rRNA from 1 species
AGCAGUAGCCGCGGGAAUACGGAGGGUGCAAGCGUUAAUCGGAAUUACUGGGCGUAAAGCGCACGCAGGCGGUCUGACAAGUCAGAUGUGAAAUCCCCGGGCUUAACCUGGGAACUGCAUUUGAAACUGUCAGGCUGGAGUCUUGUAGAGGGGGGUGGAAUUCCAGGUGUAGCGGUGAAAUGCGUAGAGAUCUGGAGGAAUACCGGUGGCGAAGGCGGCCCCCUGGACAAAGACUGACGCUCAGGUGCGAAAGCGUGGGGAGCAAACAGGAUUAGAGACCCGUGUAGUCCCUGUCUCUUAUAC